rnacentral:rRNA from 1 species
GACGGAGGGUGCAAGCGUUGUUCGGAAUUACUGGGCGUAAAGGGCGCGUAGGCGGUCUGUUAAGUUCGGUGUGAAAGCCCCCGGCUCACCUGGGGAACUGCGCCGGAAACCGACAGACUCGAGUACCGGAGAGGAGGGUGGAAUUCCUGGUGUAGCGGUGAAAUGCGUAGAUAUCAGGAGGAACACGGGUGGCGAAGGCGGCCCUCUGGACGGAUACUGACGCUGAGGCGCGAAAGCGUGGGGAUCAAACAGG